rnacentral:rRNA from 1 species
AGCAGCCGCGGUAAUUCCAGCUCCAAUAGCGUAUAUUAAAGUUGUUGCAGUUAAAAAGCUCGUAGUUGAAUUUCGGGAUCAAUAUACCGGUCGUGCCUCAGGUAUGAACUGGUCUUAUUGGUUUCUCCCUUCUGACGAACCAUGAUGUCAUUAAUUUGAUGUCGUGGAGAAUCAGGACUGUUACUUUGAAAAAUUAGAGUGUUUAAAGCAGGCUAACGCUUGAAUACAUUAGCAUGGAAUAAUGAAAUAGGACGUUCGAUCCUAUUUUGUUGGUUUCUAGGAUCGACGUAAUGAUUAAUAGGGAUAGUUGGGGGCAUUAGUAUUCAAUUGUCAGAGGUGAAAUUCUUGGAUUUAUUGAAGACUAACUACUGCGAAAGCAUUUGCCAAGGAUGUUUUCAUUAAUCAAGAACGAAAGUUAGGGGAUCGAAGACGA